UACGUAGGCAGCAAGCGUUGUUCGGAGUUACUGGGCGUAAAGGGUGUGUAGGCGGUUCCUUAAGUUUGCUGUGAAAUCUCCCGGCUUAACCGGGAGGGUGCGGUGAAUACUGAGGGACUAGAGUACGGGAGAGGAAAGUGGAAUUCCUGGUGUAGCGGUGAAAUGCGCAGAUAUCAGGAGGAACACCUGCGGCGAAGGCGGGUAGCUGGGCCAACACUGACGCUGAGACGCGAAAGCUAGGGGAGCAAACGGG
rnacentral:rRNA from 1 species